AGAACAUUCUUCCACUCCCCAGAGAGGAGCCGCUCAGUGUCCCCGCAGGUAGAAAAGGCCACUUGCGUCAACUGGAAGUCAUGAGGGAUCCAGUGUCGCCUGAAGCCCCGUCUUGGAGUCUUAACCCCGCGGCGCCUGAGGGCUGAGAGGCUGGUUUGAGUGCACGUGUGAGGAGGCAGGGGCCUACGUGUGUCAGGCGGGCUCUGCUGGGCCUCCUGGGCUUGUAGACCAGAGGCUGUGAGGAGCGGGCGGGAUGUCCGAAGAGCCUGUUGGCCAGAGCUGACAUUCCUGCGUUCAAAUUCCUGCUCUGCCACUUCCUAGAGCAUGACCUUGGGGGAAGUUGUGCAAUCUCCCUGGGCCUCAGUCGUUCCUCCUGUGGGACGGGGCUGAUAGCAGUAGGUGUCCGGCUGGGGUGGUGGCGAGAACUGAACGGCAUAAUGCACAGAAAGCUCUCGGGACGGCGCCUGGCCCACGGGAAGCACUGAAUGAACACGUGUGAGCGGACAAGAAGCAGUGUAAUGGCAGGCAGUGCUGAGCUCCGUGAAGAAAACCAAACCAGAUCUGCUUUCCAGACAGCAAGACGGAGAGAUCCGGGCUUGCCCACUGUGCGUGCAGAACAGAAUUCCUGGGCCGGGUGAACGAUGGCAGAGACAGGGCGAAGGUGCCCUCGUGGGGAAGCCUCGUGGGGGAAAUCGGGCUCCGAGGGACCCACCCCGUGGCCCUCGCGGUAAAGAACGCCAAGGACCUCCACCGCGACGCCAGCAGCCGGAGAGCAGGGUGCGGGCCGGCCCGGGUGGUGCCUGGGGGCGUGUUUCUCCUGGUGUUCUCAGAGACUCGCACUGCUCUUGCAUAAAGCGCAGAUUAGGAAAGCAUUAGGUAACGAGAGGGUGGCCAGAGCGUAUUACACAGCAGCCUGGCGCGGGGCCCCGGAAUGCGGCCUGCGGGGAUGGCCUUGCGGAGCAAGUCAAAUAUCUCUGGAACCAGGACAGGCAUGGCUUCCUCUGUCCCUCCUGCAGCCAGAAGGGAGAUCCUGCCGGCCCGGCUGCUCUCCGGGGCCUCCUCCGUGUCUCUUGGCCUGUGGAGGUGGGACAGAAAGCUGGGAGCCCCUGGGAGCCGCACGCUUUGAUGCGUUUUAAGGAGGAGGCUUGUUGCUGAGGCUUUGCCCAGAGGAAGGUGAGCAACAAGUGAAAAUGGAUUCUGGUCCUUCUGCCUCCUGCAGUCCCCACCUCGCCAGCCCUCCCCCACUGUCCUGGCAGAUGGACCUCACAGGGAGCUGCUUCUUUCAGGACUAAUGCUAUCUGUCGUGGCUCAGAUAUUCGGUGAGCGUUUGCUGUGAGCUCACAAAUACGCCCAUUCGUAGGCCCCAAACCUGCUCCGUGCCCUCUUUGUGUUCCCACUCCAACUGUGCAAGACGUGAAUUCAUGUGCAUUAAAGGUGAAAAGGAAACUCACCUUCACCAAGGGCCUCCUCUGUGCCAGACGCCGUGUCAGGAUUCUCCAG